GACGAACGCUGGCGGCGUGCUUAACACAUGCAAGUCGAACGUAGAGCGAUGGAAGCUUGCUUCUAUCAAUCUUAGUGGCGAACGGGUGAGUAACGCGUAAUCAACCUGCCCUUCAGAGGGGGACAACAGUUGGAAACGACUGCUAAUACCGCAUACGAUCUAAUCUCGGCAUCGAGGAUAGAUGAAAGGUGGCCUCUACAUGUAAGCUAUCACUGAAGGAGGGGAUUGCGUCUGAUUAGCUAGUUGGAGGGGUAACGGCCCACCAAGGCGAUGAUCAGUAGCCGGUCUGAGAGGAUGAACGGCCACAUUGGGACUGAGACACGGCCCAGACCUCUACGGGAGGCAGCAGUGGGGAAUCUUCCGCAAUGGACGAAAGUCUGACGGAGCAACGCCGCGUGAGUGAUGACGGCUCCGGGUUGUAAAGCUCUGUUAAUCGGGACGAAAGGCCUUCUUGCGAAUAGUUAGAAGGAUUAGACGUACCGGAAUAGAAACC
rnacentral:rRNA from 1 species